AUGCUGUUAUAGGGUCCAUUGUCAUUUGAGGAUGUGGCUAUAGCUUUCACCAAGGAGGAGUGGCAGCAACUGGACCCUGCGCAGAGGACCCUGUACAGAGAUGUGAUGCUGGAGAACUUCAGCCACCUGGUCUCAUUGGGGCAUCCAGUGUCCAAACCAGAUAUCAUCUCCAGGUUGGAACAAGGAGAAGAACCAUGGAUCAUAAAGAGAGACAUAUCAGAUUGGAUCUGUCCAGAGAGGGAGACUAGACUUGAAAAUCCUCAAUUGGACAUACUUGAAGGUGUUUCCUUCCAUAAGGAGAUAUUGGAAGGUGUAACAAGAGAUCAUUCAUUGUACUCCAUUUUUAAGGAAUGGCAGGAUGAUGACCAGCUGGAGAGAGAUCAGGAAAAUGACGACAGACUUCUCAGGCAAGUCAUGGCCAUCAAAAACAAAACAGUUGUUGAAGAAUCAGGCUAUUCAUAUAAGGCAUUAGGAAAAAUGUUUCGUGACUACACAGACCUAGAUGCUUCAGGACAAGGACGGUAUACAUGUGACUCAUUUGAAAAGAGCUUGGAACCUAAUAUAAACUUACUCAGUUGUAAUAGGGGUUAUGCAAGAAAAAACACUGGUGAGAAUUUUAGAUGUGGGAGUACAUCUGUUUCUUCCUAUUCUAAGCAUGAAAAAAUUCAUAAUGGAGUGAAACACUGUGAAGAUAGUCAGUGUGGAAAGAUUAUCAGCAAUAAACAAUCUCUUAUUCAAUAUGUGAAUGUUGAAAGUGGAGAGAAGACCUGUGUAUGCAUUGACUGUGGAAAAUCUUUUCUAAAAAAGUCACAACUCAUAAUACAUCAAAGAAUUCAUACUGGAGAGAAACCAUAUGAUUGUGGUGUAUGUGGGAAAGCCUUCAGUGAGAAGUCACAUCUCAUUGUACAUCAGAGAACUCAUACUGGGGAAAAACCUUAUGAAUGUUCUGAAUGUGGAAAAGCCUUCUCUCAGAAAUCAUCCCUCAUUAUACAUCAGAGAGUUCAUUCUGGGGAAAAACCAUAUGAAUGCAAUGACUGUGGGAAAGCCUUCUCCCAGAAAUCACCCCUCAUUAUACAUCAGAGAAUUCACACUGGAGAGAAACCUUAUGAAUGUAAUCAGUGUGGGAAGUCCUUCUCCCAGAAGUCACAGCUGAUAAUACAUCAUAGAGCUCAUACUGGAGAGAAGCCAUACGAAUGUACUGAAUGUGGGAAAGCCUUCUGUGAGAAGUCCCACCUCAUUAUUCAUAAAAGAAUUCACACUGGGGAGAAACCGUACAAAUGUGCUCAAUGUGAGGAAGCCUUCAGCAGGAAGUCAGAACUCAUUAUACAUCAGAUAAUUCAUACUGGGGAGAAACCUUAUGAAUGUACAGAAUGUGGAAAGACCUUCUCCCGGAAGUCACAGCUCAUCAUACAUCAGAGAACGCAUACUGGAGAGAAACCCUAUAAAUGCAGUGAAUGCGGAAAAGCCUUCUGUCAGCAGUCACAUCUCAUUGGACAUCAGAGAAUUCACACAGGAGAAAAACCUUACGUAUGCAGUGAAUGUGGGAAAGCCUUCUCUCAGAAGUCCCACCUCCCAGGGCAUCAGCGCAUUCAUACAGGAGAGAAACCUUACAUAUGUGCUGAGUGUGGAAAGGCCUUUUCCCAGAAGUCAGACCUUGUUGUACAUCGGAGAAUUCAUACUGGGGAGAGACCCUAUCGGUGUGCUGUAUGUGGGAAAGCAUUCAUUCAAAAGUCACAACUCACUGUACACCAGAGAAUUCAUGCAGUGGAGAAAACCUGUGUAUGUAUUACAUGUGGAAAAGCCUUUGCUAAGAAGUCACAGCUCAUUGUACAUCAACGAAUUCAUACUGGAAAGAAACCAUAUGAUUGUGGUGCAUGUGGGAAAGCCUUCAGUGAGAAGUUUCAUCUCAUUGUACAUCAGAGAACUCAUACUGGGGAGAAACCUUAUGAAUGUUCUGAAUGUGGAAAAGCCUUCUCUCAAAAAUCUUCCCUCAUUAUACAUCAGAGAGUUCACACUGGGGAAAAACCAUAUGAGUGCAGUGAAUGUGGGAAAGCCUUCUCCCAGAAAUCACCCCUCAUUAUACAUCAGAGAAUUCACACUGGAGAGAAACCUUAUGAAUGUAGAGAGUGUGGGAAGGCCUUCUCCCAGAAGUCACAGCUGAUAAUACAUCAUAGAGCUCAUACUGGAGAGAAGCCGUAUGAAUGUACUGAAUGUGGGAAAGCCUUCUGUGAGAAGUCCCACCUCAUUAUACAUAAAAGAAUUCACACUGGGGAGAAACCGUACAAAUGUGCUCAAUGUGAGGAAGCCUUCAGCAGGAAGACAGAACUCAUUACACAUCAGUUAAUUCAUACUGGGGAGAAACCUUAUGAAUGUACUGAAUGUGGAAAGACCUUCUCCCGGAAGUCACAGCUCAUCAUACAUCAGAGAACGCAUACUGGAGAGAAACCCUAUAAAUGCAGUGAAUGCGGAAAAGCCUUCUGUCAGAAAUCACAUCUCAUUGGACAUCAGAGAAUUCACACAGGAGAAAAACCUUACGUAUGCAGUGCAUGUGGGAAAGCCUUCUCUCAGAAGUCCCACCUCCCAGGGCAUCAGCGCAUUCAUACAGGAGAGAAACCUUAUGUAUGUGCUGAGUGUGGAAAGGCCUUUUCCCAGAAGUCAGACCUUGUUUUACAUCAGAGAAUUCAUACUGGGGAGAGACCCUAUCGGUGUGCUGUAUGUGGGAAAGCAUUCAUUCAAAAGUCACAACUCACUGUACACCAGAGAAUUCAUAACAGUGGUAAAAUCAUAAUGACCUGAACACAGAAAAGCCUUCUCAGGCUCAAGCCUGACUUAGCUCAAGCCUUAAUAAAUACUAGGAACCUGACUGAUUUGAUAUUUAUGGGACAUCUUUAUAGAUAAAAUUUUACAAGAGAAUUCAUGUCUGUAGUGUGGUGAUACCUAGCUCAGCAAAGAUGAUGGAAAAUAAUCAUAAAUGAAGAACAUUUUCAACAUGGUGUAUAAAACUUUUAAAGUUAUGGUCAUUAGAACAAAUUAUGUAUAUAGAAUAUUGUCAAGUUACAUAUUCUUUAUUAUACUACAUUAACAAUAACCAGACAUUGUGAAAUUGCUAAUAUUAGCUUGGCAUAAUUUUGGCCAUACAGUAAUUCCCAAUAAAGGACAUGAGGAAAGCUUGAGUAAAAAGAAAAAGAAAGAAAAUCAACUCCUAGAAACUACAUUAUUAGGAGGGGCUUGGCAUGACCCCUAAAGAUACAUGUAAAAUUCUUGUACAAAGAUGGAAAGAUAGGUGGAUCAGAUUCAAUACAGGUGAUGUUUAUGCAUUUUCCCAUCUCAAGCAUAUAAGUUGACCUGUCUCUCUGGAAGGAUCCUGGACCUUGAAAUCAAUGCGCCUUGACCUGAUCUCCCAUUUAUUCUUCCUCAUUGAGAGUUUGGUAUUGUGGAAAUGCUUUGGUACUGAGCCAGAUGGUCUUGUGUUUUAAUCCUGGCUUAGCUACUCACAGAUUGUGUGACUUCAAGCAAGCCUGCUUCACCCAUCUGAAUAUUUUCUGUUAUCAUUAAAAAAAUGUAGAGCACAUUUUCAGUUAAUAUUAGUUCUUUUUAUCUUUCUCUUUAUCCUCCUGCAACUGGAUGCUAAGACUAAUGUGUGAAAACUACAUCUAAACUUGCUUUGCAUUCCAGACACUCUGCUUUUGAUAUCCCAUUCCCAUUACUGUUCAUUUUACUGUCUUUGACCCU